GCCCAAUCAGAAGCUACUGAAAUCUGUCAUCCCCUCACCCUGUCAUUUCAAUUUCCUUUUGACGAUUCCAUAUUUCAAAAUUGCCUAACAGAUCAUUUCUGUUUCUUUAUUGCUCUGAAAACUUUCUCUCUUCCAAACUUCAUCUCUCGAUGCUUCCCUAAUCUGGUUCGCUCAGCUCAUUAUGCUGUGUUUGGGUCUCUGCAUAAUCAGGAACGCCCAUUUUCAGGUAAAAUUCCUCUCCUCUUCUUAGCGUCUCUGUUGCAAGGAUAUGUGCAAGGUUGUUUACAGAUCUUGGUGUGUGAAGGAAUCUGAUAUUUUUUACUUCUAGUAUUUUCUGUUGUAUAUCAUAAAUAUAUGCCCCUACCAUUGAUCUGUCAUGAUCCUUUUUGUUGCAUUUCUUGAUUAUUGCGAGGGAAUCUCCUUCAAAAAUGAGUGCCUGCCAACCAUGGUCAACUCCUACUUGGACUACUUUCUGACAGGCAAUUGCUUCAGCAGCAAAAGCAGAUGGAACUCUAUUGUGGAUUUCUGAGCAGGAUAAAAGAAUUUUUCCUUCCGAGUCACUGGCCACAACACCUGAGGCUGACCGGUUCUGAAUCUGAUUAUAUGCACCAUCAAAAUUAAUCUUUAUGGAUUCUCACUGUGGUGCACAGCAAAAGAGUCGACUUUGAUUUGGGUUUAACUGCUCUAGCGCCCAGCACAGUCACGGAAUAAGUGAUUCAUCGUUUCAGCUCAUUCUCCACAUCGGAGACACCUUGUGUUUACUACUAAUUUCCAGUGUUGUAGAUUUACCUUUGUAGGCAGAUAGUUCCAUGAUAGCCGACAUAUUGUGAUCUUUAUUUUUGUUGGUAUAUUCAGGCUCCAAAGUGUUUUGUAAAAUUUUUUGUAGAGGUUUUGUAAAGCAUAAGCUCUAGGAUUAUCGGUCGAUCUCUGUAAUAGUUGAUAGGCACUUCGUACCGUGAAUUCACCCGACUUCUCCCCUCCUCAAAUACGAAAAUCUUCAUGCGGUGAUCGUGCCAACGGGAUCCUGAGGAUUCUUUCAGCAUCUGCUUCAGUGAAGGUGUAAUGCUUGUAUAGCCCUGGAGACCAUGCCCCAGUUUUCCACAUCCAAAACAGAAGGUUGGCAAUUUUUCAUACUUGAAAGGGAUCCAGCAUUUAUUCCCAUUCCCUGUUGACACAAAUAUACCUCUACGAAUUGGUUUUUGCACAUUGAGCUGUAUUCUAAGGCGACAAAACUCACCGCUAAUUUCAGAUCUGAUCACUCCACCGAACGUGACCCCUACAGCAUGCAGAAGAUCCUUUUUAUCAAACACUGGUAAACAGGGUCCAAUUUUAAUCCAAAACGGAGAUGAAACAAGCGUAAUUUGGUCUCUCGUUGUCGGCUUAAAAAUCCGGUCAAAAGUAAUUAAAUUCUUCCUAAACAACCAUGGUUGGCCUUCCAUCACAGAUUCCAAAUCAUCCUCUGAUUCAAACGUUAUCAAAAAAAGAUUUUUCCCCACCAAUUGAAUCUCAAACUUUUCCUUUGUUUUCCAGAUACUUUUCAUCUGUGCUUUGAAACUAUCAUGAUUAUAAGAUUUAUUUGUCCAAACAGAACAGAUCAGAGAAGGUUUACCGUUUGGCUCCACCAUCGAGCUUUUGACCGAUAGUUGAGUAAGUUCCUCUUCUAAUAGGGAGAUCUCGUCUCUCCGAACCCCGUUGAUGCCACCACUCUCCAUCAUCCCAAGCCACAGCAGCCACUGUUUUCGCUAGGACACCAAGGAUUGCACUCUUGGCUUCUAGGGUUUUUUCAGUCGGUUGAAAAAACUUAAUUAUUAUUAUUUUUGAUUAAUAAAAUAUUAUUUUUAUUGAAGAUAAGUUAUCAUUUUUAACA